GGCGAUCCAGCCUCGAGCGCGAGAUACAGGCCUUAGCACUAGAUGCACGCCUAGCGUGCGGCCCAGCUCGGAGAGCCGCCCCAAGCAUCAAGUGCAGCCCGGGGCGCGCGGCCGACCCCAAUGCGAGAUGCUGCAGCUUGCUCGAGGCAGGACGACCCGAGCGCGGGCGGAAGGCCCGGAGCGGUUUCCAGAGAACACGUAGUUGGCGGGGUGGCGGCGGGGGGAGGGCGGGCUGAAAUCAAAGUGAGAAGGCCAUCACCUCCUCCCAAUGCCUCCUUCCCACCCCCACCUUCCCUUGGAGGAAAGUCUCUAGCCAUGAAGCGAGUCUGGGCCCUGCUCUCUGCAGUGUUUCUUUACCUUUCUGAAGGAGUAGGAGAGCUGUUUUCUGUCCCAGAAAAAAAAAACUACAUUUAUGGCAACGUAGAACACCCAGUGAAAAUCUAUGUAAAAAUGCACCAUAAUAGUCCAUUUCUUGCCUGCAUGGAUAAAGAGCUUUCUCAAACAGAAAUAAUAGACCCCAUAUCUUUUUGGAUGGGACCAAAUGGAAAGCCUUUAAAAGAGAACAGUCAUAUAAACCUAACUUCAGAAGGAAAGCUAAUGAUUACAAGUUUUCAAGCAUCUUUGUCUGGAUCUUACAUAUGUACUCUUAGUUAUAAAAUCAUCAGUGAAGAAACACAAAAAGAACAAGAGAUAUAUAACAUAUAUACAUUUAUGGUAUUUGGAUACCAGGAACCCGAUUUUGCAUAUCAAAUGACAGUACGAUUUACCACAGAUUCUUGUAAUGGAAAAAAAAAUUCUCAGUUCUUCAAAUUACUGAUAAGGAUAUUAGAUGAAAUCAUCAUUGAUUUGACAUGCUACAUUGAAGAACCAUCAUAUAAAUGCCAUUUUCUCGAAAUUCCAAAACAUGGUCUCAAGGAGGAACUAUUUAUAGCCUUUCAAGUAAGACCUUUCUCACCAGAGCGGAAAGCAGCUUGCAGUAAACUUUCUGUUGACUGUGAGGAAAUCACUAACAGUAACGUUCACCAGGCAAGAAAUCGCAUAGAAGAGUUCUUUCUCAAACAGACAAAUAUUUUGAAACAUGAAUUUAACUAUAUACCAAAUAUCCAUUAUGUCGAACACAGCUUUAAAGUAAUACGCAUUGACAGCUGUCAACCAGGCUUUGGGAAAAAUGAUAUUCUACAUAGUGACUGUGCUAGCUGCUGUGUGGUUUGUGAUCCAAGAACAUAUAGUCCUAACACUGAUGUAACUUGUCAAGCCUGCUUAACUGUCCACAUCUAUGGAGCUAAAACUUGCCAUAAACCCAAACCAAAAACUGGAAAAUUGAAGACAAGAGAUGAUGUAAAACUGAAGUUUUGAGUGGAAAAGUACUGAGAUAUAAGUGGUCUAUAAAGAUUAUUCUGAUAAUGAGGCGAAGGACAGCUUGGAGUGGGGAAGACUAGAAGCAGAAAAACCAGCUGCAGCUUUGUGAAAUAAGACCCUGAAAAAUCAGAGAAGUCAUAUCAUGUGAUGUUAAAGAAAACCGGAGCUAUGACAGAGACAAUUCAGCCAUCUUGUCCAGGGAAAGCCUGUGGCCUGGCUCCCUCAAGGGACUGGGCAGGUCACAUGAGCUCUGGGGUUCUCCGAAGUUCCAGGUCCCUCAGUUUCUGCCCAUCAGAGGAGUUGUAGUUAAAUGGAUUUUAUUUUAUUUUUUGCUGCUCCAAUAUUAUUUUCUGAAACCACUGAAUUGUUAAUAAUAAAUUACUGAACACGUUGCUCCUCA